rnacentral:rRNA from 1 species
UACGUAGGGUGCGAGCGUUGUCCGGAAUUACUGGGCGUAAAGCGCGCGCAGGCGGCGUCGGGCGUCGGUGCUGAAAGUCCACCGCUUAACGGUGGAUAGCGUGCCGAUACGCCGACGCUGGAGGUGGACGAGGGUGGUGGAAUUGCCGGUGUAGUGGUGAAAUGCGCAGAUAUCAGGAGGAACACCGAUGGCGAAGGCAGGUCUCUGGGCAUUAACUGACGCUGAGGAGCGAAAGCAUGGGGAGCGAACAGG